rnacentral:rRNA from 1 species
AGUGAACGCUGGCGGUAGGCCUAACACAUGCAAGUCGAACGGCAGCACAGUAAGAGCUUGCUCUUACGGGUGGCGAGUGGCGGACGGGUGAGGAAUACAUCGGAAUCUACUUUUUCGUGGGGGAUAACGUAGGGAAACUUACGCUAAUACCGCAUACGACCUACGGGUGAAAGCAGGGGAUCUUCGGACCUUGCGCGAUUGAAUGAGCCGAUGUCGGAUUAGCUAGUUGGCGAGGUAAAGGCCCACCAAGGCGACGAUCCGUAGCUGGUCUGAGAGGAUGAUCAGCCACACUGGAACUGAGACACGGUCCAGACUCCUACGGGAGGCAGCAGUGGGGAAUAUUGGACAAUGGGCGCAAGCCUGAUCCAGCCAUGCCGCGUGGGUGAAGAAGGCCUUCGGGUUGUAAAGCCCUUUUGUUGGGAAAGAAAAGCAGCAGGUUAAUACCCCGCUGUUCUGACGGUACCCAAAGAAUAAGCACCGGCUAACUUCGUG